AUUGAACGCUGGCGGCAUGCCUUACACAUGCAAGUCGAACGGCAGCGCGGGGCAACCUGGCGGCGAGUGGCGAACGGGUGAGUAAUAUAUCGGAACAUACCCUAGAGUGGGGGAUAACGUAGCGAAAGUUAUGCUGAUACCGCAUACGCACUAAGGUGGAAAGUGGGGGAUUCGCAAGAACCUCAUGCUCAUGGAGUGGCCGAUAUCUGAUUAGCUAGUUGGUGAGGUAAAGGCUCACCAAGGCAACGAUCAGUAGCUGGUUUGAGAGAACGACCAGCCACACUGGAACUGAGACACGGUCCAGACUCCUACGGGAGGCAGCAGUGGGGAAUUUUGGACAAUGGGGGCAACCCUGAUCCAGCAAUGCCGCGUGAGUGAAGAAGGCCUCGGUUGUAAG
rnacentral:rRNA from 1 species